rnacentral:rRNA from 1 species
CGAGUGGCGAACGGGUGAGUAACACGUGGGUGAUCUGCCCUGCACUCUGGGAUAGGCCUGGGAAACUGGGUCUAAUACCGGAUAGGACCAUGCUUUAGUGUGUGUGGUGGAAAGUUUUUUCGGUGUAGGAUGAGCCCGCGGCCUAUCAGCUUGUUGGUGGGGUAAUGGCCUACCAAGGCGGCGACGGGUAGUCGGACUGAGAGGUUGGUCGGCCACAUUGUGACUGAGAUACGGCCCAG